GGGUACACCACACCCAUACCUGUACACCACCUAACUCUCCUUAAAUAUAGCCUCCAAACCCAGUAUUCUUUAGGGAUAAAAGAUGGGUAAUGGAAUGGAAAAUAUGUGAACAAAUUGUUCCAAAUGGAUGUUACUAUUUUGAAAAUAGAACAGAGAAGCUGAAGGCAUUCUCAAACAUAAUAAUUUGAUAUUUAUUUAAUUUUUUAUUUCUAAGGGAGGGUUGUGGAGAAAGUAUUUGAAGACCAUGAGGCAUGCAUGGAAAUCCAGACCACCUCUUCUUAUAUCUGUCAGCAACUGCUAUUGCAUCACAGUUGCUAUGAGAGUGAACAGCAUGAGAAGGAACCAGAAGGCAAUGUAGGUUUAUUGACUAUAGAAGUUUCAUGACAGCCAGACUCUAAUGGUGGCUUUACAGAUGAACAGUACAAACCUGUGCAUGUUUAUUUAGAAUGUGUUCAGUGAGACUUCAUUCCACGUAAGUGUGCAUAGGACUGGAUCCUAAGAACAUAAUUAUUUGAUUUAUUGAGGAGUAAGCCUUACUGAAUGCAUUGGAAAUUACCAUAUUUUUCGCUCUAUAAGACGCACCAGACCACAAGACACACCUAGUUUUUGGAGGAGGAAAACAAGAAAAAAAAUAUUCUGAAUCCCAGAAGCCAGAACAGCAAGAGGGAUCGCUGCGCAGCGAAAGCAGCGAUCCCUCUUGCUGUUCUGGCUUCUGGGAUAGCUGCGCAGCCUGCAUUCGCUCCAUAAGACGCACACACAUUUCCCCUUACUUUUUAGGAGGGAAAAAGUGAGUUAUAGAGCAAAAAAUACGGUAAUUGCAUGCCAGACUGCAUAGGAUUCUCCUGUAAGACUUGCCCUGUAAGAGAGCAAGGAAUGGCAGAUUCACACUGUCCCUUUUAUUACACGAUAAAUAGUUUAUGCACCUUUGUUUGUAUAUUCGUUGAUGAAUGUAGGCCAAGCAUUCUUAAAUUCUAAGCAAGGAUGGGGAACCAGUGGCCCUCCAGAUGUUGGAGCUGGCUGGGGCUCAUGAGAGUUGGAGUCCAACAACAUAUGGGAGGGCCACAGGUUGCUCUUCUCUGAAAUAGAGUUACAAACCCAUGUUUCCUUCUGCUGCCAGAGACUACUGUGAUUAAUGAUUCCAUGGUUGUGCUCCAUCCCAUUCUGUUCUCAGUAAAAACCAGCCAAUUCCAAAACUGUCACUCUUAGCAUAAAGGACUUCUACUAAAACAGCUUCAAGCUGUUAAACAUUUUGCAGCGUCUGAACUUUCAAAUUUCGAACUUUUCAAAACCUGUACUAUGGAUCAAGUUAGAUCCAGUUAGUCUGUUAUGUCGAAGCCGGCAAUACAAUUUUGAAAUGCUAAUUCUAACAUAAACUGAGCAUUAACACAGAAGCCACAAGGGGUGGGUGGGAAUUUUCAAGUUCUUCGUUUAGCUGAUGACAAAAUAUCUACAAUGAUAUUAGACUUAAAACUGUAAGCGGAUGGAACUUGAAAAAGGGGCAGCUUAAUAUCAUCAUAAAAAUGCAAACAAAAAAGUUAGAAUUGAAUUCUCGCUCAUCUCCAAACAUUCCCAUUUUAUGAGCAAAUGCAUAAAGCAUAUUGAAAAGCCUUGCUGUAAUCCCGCCUAACAGCAGCACACUUGCUCCUAUUAUAAUUAAAAGCAAACCUUGGUAGUGAAGCUGAAACAUAAUAAAUACAGCAACAUUUAAAGAAAGAAAGCUGUGCUAAUCUGAUAGAAUUCUAGAACAGGGAAAUAACAGCAGUAAGAACAGCCAACCUUACUUGUUGUUGUUCAGUUAAAACAUGCUCCCGUACUAGAGAAAUCCAAACCAUACGAAAGUUUUCAGCAGUCUAGAAAUUGCUCGAGUGGAUGCUGUGUUUAUUUACCAAGCCUUAAAAAUCUGUGGUGAGGAGCAGUACUGAGUUAGCUCUCAAGUUCAUCAAGAGCACCGCUGAAAGUCCUACUGUAACUACAGGCAUGAAGUUUGCUGCCAGUUAGCUUUUCUGCUGCUCUGUGCUUGUAAAUACAAGCUCUGUGGACAAAGUCCCAAAUGACAUCACAAGCAGCUGCUUAUUGUUGAGUCUUUAUUAACUGGCUGUCAAAAAAAGAAAAGAGGAACUGAGAGGGGUGGGGAGGCACCACUGUCUACCCCGAAGCACAAUCUGAGAGCUUAGUCGGUAUUUCACUUAUACAUAUGUAAAUACUUGUGAUUAUCUAAACUAUGCUUUCCUUAGGAUCAUGAAGCCAAGUUUCCAUAAGAAUCAUAUCCUUUGCCAGUCUGAAAAAUGAAAGGAAUAAAAAGGACAUGAGGUCUAGUGAGAAAAACAUAUAUUAAAUGCUGCAUUUACCAUACUUUUUAAAAGCUGCAUACUUCUAGUAUGACUUUUUAUAUAUAAAUGUUAUAUAGAUGCACACACAAAACCAGCACAGAUGCUAGGAAUGGUUUGAAGUUUAAUAGAGUCUGCUAAGUCUUAGAGUGUAAGAAAAACUUUGCAAAAAUUUUAAUAGGUUCAUCAAACAUGCUUAAGUGUUUUGUAGGACUAAUAUCUUAUAUCUAACUUGAUAAAUAAAUAAAUAACCACCAGUAAAAUAAGUUCAUGUCUAUUUUUUUAAAAGGUGAUUAUAUAAAGUCUCUUUCUGUGUCUCUUUCAGAUUUAAAUCUCAAAAAUUUGAGACUGUAGUCCUAAUAAUAUUUAUACGCCCAUGUAAGUCUUAAUGAAAUCAGUGAGGCUUUCUUCUGAAUAAAAAGGUUGAGGAUCAGGCUGUAACUGACAAAGAGAGCCAUUCAGCUUGUGGUGGGUGAGCUGGUAAGACAAGAAAUUACUGACCUUUCACUCCUGAGAUUGGGACCUGAGACUAGUCUUUAUGUGUGAAACGAGAAUAACAGCUUCUAGUCUUCAAGGAAACUGCAUUGCUCGGAUGAGGGAAAUUAGCAUGUCCCUAAGUGUGUGUUCCACUUCCUUGUCCCCAUGAGUGUCACCUCAAAGAAAGGCCUUGAGCUGAAGUUACAAAACAUCUGCACUUAUUUCCCAAAAGCUAAACUUUUCAAGUGAUGACCUGGAUCACUGAAAGGGCAAGGUGAAGGAAGUGCUACUGUGUAUACUAAUAGCUAUUCUCUAUUGAUGACACAAACAUGGGAGGACUCCAGCAUUGAGAAAUACCAACCAUGUAUUUCUUUUUAUUAAAAAAAUGCAGUUAUCAGACUCAAGAGAAUUAAGGAGGACUUAAACUCUGAAAUGUUUCAGACAUCAGCUUUUCUCUAGUUUACAGAUCCUCCUUUGUUAGGAGCACUUAGCCUCCGUUCAAACCGUGCUGGCCAUGCACAGGGGGUUGGAUUAGAUGACCCUCAGGGUCCCCUCCAAACUCUACAAUUAGAUGAUUCUAUAAAAUCAGACCUGCAAGAGAAGGAAUGAAAGGAAUGCUUCAGCUUGUCACUCCUUCAUGGUCCAACACAACACAGGUUGUUGCAGCAGCCCUGUUACCUCUGGACUUUUAUGAUCUAUGGACAUAUACAUGUCACUGGGUCUGCCUCAGUUUCUGAUCACAUUAAAAAUUUUCAUCCUCCAAAAGUCAUAAAAAAUGGUACUAGCCCAUCACACUGUGUCCCAGUGAUAGUAUUGUCCUACACAUGCCUACCUAGAUUUAAGUCCAUCCUACAUAUUUAAAUAAACAAGGUUGCCACCCUAAAUAAGACCUACUGAACCGCUUCUGAACAGAUAUGGCUAGGAUUGCAUUGUUAGCAGUGUGCUCCUUAUUUUCUAGAAUCAUCACUGUUUCUCUGCAAUUGUGCUAGUAUUGUAUAUCUGUCCUUGUAUGCCUCAAACUUAAGUUCCCUUGGUGUGUGACUGAGCAGUCCUGCCUUGGUUCUUAAUGAUGUCCAUUCAACACUUUCUAAAAGCAAUGUGCCAUAAAAGUGGUAAGUUAUCUUAUAGGUAUAAAUAGAUUUCCAGUUAUACCACUACUUUAGCUUUCAAUCCAGUAGUCAGAGCCAAGUGCUUCACUGAACUGAAGGAUUAUUGCUCUAUAGACUCCUUUGCUUGGAAAGGAAGAAUUUUGGUUGUUCUAAUAACAAUGUCUGACCUAUCACAGAACUUCAUUUCUAUCGAUGUAAUGCUUUGCUGUCAAAGCUGUGUCCAAAGAGAAUAUCAAUGGGUUUUAUCCAACAUUAAUCAUAAUCAAAGACCCACACAGAGCACAUUAUAGUAAUCCAACCUUGAGGUCACUAAUACAUGAGUCACAGUGGCCAUGCUAUGGUUCGCCAAAUGUAUCUAGAAGGUAGCCCACUGAAUACAGUAGUCCCUACUAAUUCAUAUGACUGCAUUAGCAUGUCACCUUUUUGCAAGGUGAGUAUCAUGGGGCCUGUGAAGAACAUUAAUGUCUUUGUGUGAUUUCACAAACUCGUCACACUUUCUCCGAAAUCAAAAUCUGGAAAAACAGCCAUGUUGCUAAGAUUGAGUUAUCACCAUGUUUGGGAGCAGUUGCAAUCCUAAUGCCAUGGAAUGCAGUGUUUAAAUUUAAUUUGACUGCAGUAUAACUGAUCCAAAUGCAGUUUUUCCAAUUCUGAAUUAGAAAUAAUACAUUAAGUAUUUGGGGAGAAGGGGAUGAAGCAUCACAAAGAAAUUAACCCCUUUGCUGUAGUAAAAAAAGCCACAUUGACAAGGAAGUGGUCCAUGUUAUGGAAAUACUUUCACAUAUGUUUAGAACCAACUAGAACCCCAAAUACAUAAAGGGGUUAUGUUUGACUUUCUGCUGCAAUUUGAAAUUUGACUUUCUGCUGCAAUUUUUUUUAGUGAGUCUGAAGUCAGUUAGGUUCAUGAUGCAUCUCAUUAGAUAAAAUGCAAAAGCCUAGUAAAUACAGAAUAUAUACAUAUAUAUAUAUUAAAAUAUAUUUGCUUUCGUACGUUAAGAAAAGUGCUUAUUCCUCCAAAACAAAAGAUGCCAGAUGCAUAUUUUCACAUAAUACUUACACUCAUGAAACCAUAAAGAACACAUUUAAAACACACAACUGCAUAUUUGUUCCUAUAUUUUCAGUAUUGCUCCGAUUCAAGAAUGUAUGACGAAUGAAUAUGCCACAUUCAGCCCAAAACAAAUCACUAACUUUCUGCUCCUACAGGGAUAUAUUUCUUGUGGAAUCAUAUGUUCAAAAAUACUGCAUGUCUCAGAUGGUCUUUCUCUCAUCUUUCAAGAGUGGGUCUGUUCUUGUAUAACUUUUACUAGAAUCAUCUGGGAAUCAUUUGUAUUAGAAGUAAUAAGAAAUUCCAUCUUCCAGGACUGCAGCAAAGACAUAGACAUAUUUUACCUUCAACCAUAGUCUAAAACACAGGUAAGGUUGAACUGAAUUUUGAAGCCUGGCUCAUGUAUUUUUGCCCUAUGUUAAAAUGUGUGUUGACUAAUUUACAAUACCAAUCUCUACCUCACAGAUAUUUAGAAAAAUUAAGCACUAUUUAAAGCUGUUUGUGUGAAUCAUCUCUUAGGUUUAUGUAAUGGCACAUUCUGGCACCAAAUUUUAGUGAAUUGCUUUAAGUGAUCAAACAUAAUUUAGGAAUAUUUAAAGCAUGUUGCACAUUAGCAUUGGUAAAUAUUUUACAGCAGUGAAUUUAACAAGGUUAGUUACUUGAGAGAUUGUUCAACAUAACUCAGUAACACUGGCAGUGGCGGAGGAACCCCCUCCGGCACCUGAGACGGCCCAGCCCAUAUGGACUGCGCAUGUGCAGCAUCCCACGCGUGCGCACUCUGUACAGAAUGCUGCACAUGCGCAGUCCGUACAGGAUGCCGCUUGCGUGCAGCGGUCGUACAGACGCCGCACGAGAGCAACACCCAUACGGACUGCAGGUGCCCUCGGCCACUCUACAGCUGGGGGGAGGCAGGGGCCAUCUUGUCACCCUUCCCAGAGUGGCGCCCGGGGCAGCCCGCCCCCUCCACCCCCCUUCCUAUGCCACUAAACACAGGGCUACAGCCAGAGUUUGCCUUCUCUGGAUAGAAAGACUUCUUUUAAUCAGAUGGGAAUGUUGAUCCAGCAGAGGGAGCCUGCUGAUUGACAGCAGAAGGAGAGCAACUUUUACUGAUUCCCCAACCCUCCAGAACAAUGGUAGUGGUACUGCUGGGGUGCUGGACAGGAAGGAGCGUCCUCAGGCAUGUUCAUCCUUGGAUGAACCUCUGGUACCUUGGGUUAAGAACUUAAUUUGUUUGGGAGGUCCGUUCUUAACCUGAAACUGUUCUUAACCUGAGGUACCACUUUAGCUAAUGGGGUCUCCCGCUGCCGUGCAAUUUCUGUUCUCAUCCUGAAGCAAAGUUCUUAACCCGAGGUAUUAUUCUGGGUUAGCGGAGUCUGUAACCUGAAGUGUCUGUAACCCGAGGUACCAGUGUACUGUUACAAUGACCACCUAGGCUGGCCCACACACUUAGGAGAGUCAUGCUCUGGAGUAAAGGUUUGAGGUUGGUCACCCUGGCAAAACUGCCACUUUCUAAGGCCCUAAACCCUCUAGACCUGAGGAUUCAUGCAAUACUGGCUUGUGUUGUGAACAUAAGUAUAAGCAGAAAGGAAGCAAGAAAUUGCCAAGAGUUAACAACAAAACUGAGAAAAGAAAGGGCUGGUGUGGGAUAGAUAAGACAAAGAUAUAUCCAGACUGUCCCAGAGUUUAAGCAUUUAGUCCACAAAUCAAAAUAAAAGCACAAAUGCUUAGGCUUCCAGCUAUGCAUAUGAAUAAGUAAACAUUUACUUCUCUGGGGUGCUUCUACCAACCAUACCUUCCUCCAUAUCCACAACAAGUGGUGGCAAAACCAAAUUAAGUCUAAACAUGGCAGAUAGUAGGAACAGACAUUCCUAUUGUCUCAUAUGAGAACAUAACCUUGAGAAGUCUGGUAAAUAUUAUUUUCAGUACUACUAAUAGACCAAACAGGACAAACCAGUAAUGCAUGUGAAAAGGAAGUUAAUGUUGUCAUCUUUCUAGAAACCCAGUAGCCUAUAGAUGAUUAGGUUUCAAACUUUUUAAGGGUAUAGGGCUUUCAAUAAACUAGAAAUUCCUAUUGCUAAAUUGCCUCCCCUACCCCUCCACCUUCUCAAGGAAAUCAAAAAGCAGUACCCAUAUUUGCAAAUGGAAGAGACAAAAUUAAUGGUAGGCACAGCUUUCUAAACCCAGGAGAAACUUUUGCUAGAAAUGAUGGUCUGAGUAUAUUAAGAAACAUUUCCUGUCAAAUAUUAUGGGAUUUUUAGUUGCUGGGGGAGUGUCUGCUUCCCAAUUCAGUUCAGGAGGAAGACAAAACUACAACCCCCAUGAUUCUCACCAGGAAAUGAUAUCCCCGAGUCUUUUCUGGCUAAACUGGUGUGUUGUGUGUGUGUGUGUGUGUGUGUGUGUGUGUGUCUGUCUGUGAGUAUAUUCUGGGACAUGUCACUGUUGCUGUAAUAAUAUUGCAUUAGUGGUGGAUUUAUGUUGGACUGCCCACACAUCAUUCCAUUUCAUCCAGAGGAGUGCUGUUUAGUUGUUGCCUGUGUUACAGAGGCCCAACUGACCUUAACCAGAAUUGUGAGCAUUUACAUAGUAUUGCCAGACCCAUGUAGUGGAACACUCUUCCAACAGAGAUUCACCAGACAUGCUUGCUUUUGACUUUCAGGUAUCACUUGAAUACUUUUUUUUGUUUGUUCCAAGAGGCCUUUGCAGCUUUUAAAAUUUUGAUUGGCCAGUCACCUUAAUUAUCUGUAUUCCUAAUUUUUUAAAAAGAUUGUGUUUUAUGUUUUAACAGCGUAUACCACCUUAGUAUCUCAUGAUGUGGCAGUGCAGAAAUCCUUCUAUAAAUAAAUCCUGGCUCUUCCCAUUGGAUGAAGAACUCUAGUUCUGCCAAAGGCUUCAAUUUUUAGAUAAGAUUGGUGCAUAAGGCAAGUUACAGGCUUCAGAAAUCAGCAGGUACAUGAGAGCUGAAAUGCAGAUGAACUAAAACCUUCAUCCAACCUGAACAUGCCACCUGCUGCUUGCUUUGAAGAGCAGAGCCACCACAGCUAUAUGCAUGGCAAGCAGCUACAGUCUCAACACUGGGCAAACAAACAGGCACUCCUUUGAGUAAAUUGGGUCCAUGAUGCUUGUUAGUCCCAGCACUGGUGUCUCCAUUGAGACAGAGCUGGAAUUAGGACCAGCUCAGCAUCAGAGUUGUUCUCAGUUGGGGAGGCUCCUCACUGACAGGGGAAUGUGUCAAAGGCAACUCCAGAUCCUGUUUGCACACGAGAUCCAAGCCACCAACUAUAUUACUUGUGACACAUGCAAAAAAAAAAAGGUGUUCUUUUCCCAAAAGAAAUUAUCUAAGUAUCUUUGUCCAUCACAAAUAAACUUUACAGCGCUUCUGCUAUCGAAAGAGACAACAAUCAGAACAGCUUAUAGAAAAUGAGGAAUUUAUUUUAUUCUGACAGUUUUAUCUCUGGUAGCCUUCUGCAUAUACAGAACAGAUGAGGUGAUAUGCAGCAGGCUGUGAGAGAUCUGGCAACGUGCAUCACAUCAGUAAACAAUAAGGAAAGGGGCAGGAUUUUGCCUAGAUUUAACCAAGGAAAUAGAGAUGGUGACAUUUUCUACCUUUGCCCUUUUCCUUUUGGAAGAAGAGUUCUCUUAUUUUCCAAGUCUCAGGAUUCCUUUGACUUUUUUUUUUAAAGUUUAAAAGCAAAAUCCUAAUCAGUCACCCCUAUUUAUGAUAGAACACUAUUUCUUCUCUACUUUACUGUCGGCAAUUUUAUCCUAAGACCCAUUGGUCUUAAUAAGCACUUUAGAGGUGUCCAGUGAAGCCUGCUACAUUUCGUACAAAUUACCAAACCAUAUUCAGGGUAUCAAAGCCUAUAGUAGGUCCAACAAAAAUGGGAACACCUCAAAACAUAACUGAAAACAAACAAACAAAAAAGUGGCAGAGAAGAAAAAGUCUUGUUGAUCCAAUGUGUUUCAGACCAUUCUGGUUCUUCAGGGAAAUUCAGGGACCAAUGGGGUCUAAAAUGUGUUGGAACAACCAGGGGCAUAGUGUUUGGGGGAGUAGGGUGGCGUAGCCCCAGGAGCACAAUUUUUAGGGGGCAUGAACCAAGAGUCUCCAUAAAAGGAUCCCCAUCCUGCCCUGUCUGCCCCUGGUGGUCUUUGAGCCCCAGAGCCCAGCCUGGUCUUGCCGUCGUAUCCCCAGCCUCCUUGUUGAUUGGCCACCUGGUCAGCAUGGGGGGGGGAGGCGGGAUCUGCCUGCCAAGGCAUGCAUCGGCCAGAUGGGCUCCUCCCUGCACAAGCAGGCAGAUGUGCAGCGCAGCCAUGCUUGGCCAGGGGUGAGCUGGCACACAGGUUCCAUGAACCCUCCAUGUCCAAUGCAUGCACACCCAGUUCUAGAAAUUAUGCUGGAAUUUAGACCUGUAAUAUUUAGGCAGGAUCUGACUUAGAAGCGGAUUCUAAAACUAUCCUUAAUUAAAACUCUUAGCUUCAUUACCGCUACCACAUAAAGACCUGGUCAGUAGUAGUAUCUAUGCCAGGCACAGGCAAACUCAGCCCUCCAGAUGUUUUGGGACUACAACUCCCAUCAUCCCUGACCACUGGUCCUGUUCGCUAGGGAUGAUGGAAGUUGUAGUCCAAAAAACCUAUGGAGGGCCGAGUUUGCCUAUGCCUGAUCUAAGCAUGUGUUAAAUUGCUGUUCUACAACUUCCAGCUCAAAAACCUUCAUCACAUAGGGAAAGCACACCUGGGUCUAUGUUAAGUAGAUAAUUGGUGCAGUGGCUUAGAUAAAGGUAGCAUAGAGUAAGAGACAACAUCUUCUGUUACAUUUUUGCAAAGGCACAAUAUUUCUUUUUUGCCCACGGGUAGAGAAAAGAAGAUGCAUAUUUUUAUGUUCUUUUGUCCAGAUUGUUUUCUCUUCUGGAGCCUGUGAACAUUUCUCCCUGAACUUUACAAAGGAGAAACCCUUUGUAGGCUGAUAUAAAUAAAAUUCAUAGCACAGAGUACUACUUAUCUACCAAAUGCCUUUGCAACUUUUCUUGAAAAUCUGAGCUCAGAGGUACAGUUUCAAACCAUGUGAUAAAGACUUCAGUGAGAUUAGAAGCAUCAAAAGAAACCUUCAAUUCAAAACAAGCAGCAAAGUCUUUGUUAUAUUAGUCACAAUAUAUUUUUUUCUAAAUUAGCAGGACUCUCGCUCUCAGCUGUUCAAGCUAUUCUUUCCCCUCUACAUAUUAGGUGAGCUUAAAGGGGUCAGUUUACCACCUAAGCUUGCCUAAGGUAUAUAUUUAAAGUGAGGGUGUGGGUGGGAUGUGAGGAGAGUUGAUGAACGACAGGGGUACCUUUUCAGGUUCUGGGAACAGAGUGCAAAAUGUUGCAGUUGGCUGUAGGUGUGGAUUGCUCCGCAGAGUUUAAAGGCAAACCCUUACAUCUAUUCAUGUUAACUUGCAUAAAGCAGUGUAUUUUAAGAGCUUGGUGUGGGGUGUGGGUGGAUGUGGGUGUAAUGCAUGAUAAUAUUGUUAACAAUAUACGGAACAAUCACAUACAACCUGAAAGAGUAGGUGGGGGCAGGGAGCAAAGAGGAGAAAAGGAUGAUAUCAACCCUGUCUUUCUUAAACCGUUCUGCUGCAAUAAUAUUAGAGGCUUUUCCUUCCAUUAUUCAAACCUAGUAAUAUAUCAAUAUAUUUCAUUCAAAGAACAAUGUAAUGAUUCACUAUUAGUCAUUAUGACUAAAUGGAACUUCCAUGGUCAAAGACAAUAUACCUAUAUAAACACCAGCUGCUGGUGGGGGGUGGGUAGAAUUGGGAGGGCUGUAGCCUUCAUACUGUAUUUUUGGAUCUAGCUGUGCAUUCUUUGAAACAGAAUGCUGCACUAGUUGGACUCUUCAUCUUCCUGUGAUCACUCUAACAUAAUAUAUUUGAUCAUUUGCCAAUAUUUGUUAUUCUCUGACACAUUCUUCUGAUGUACACUCCCUGCUUGUAGUCUCUUCUGAAAGCUAUCAUUAAGAGACAGGGAGACCUGCUUCCAUUUCCUCAUUUCUGUGUGUAAUCCCUCUGGCUAAGCUCAAUUUUGAAAUGCUGUGUACUUACUCUGCAAGCCUCAGGUCAAUUUCAUCAACUCUCAGAAAACAUAAUUUGGGACUAUUGGUUUGCUCAUCCUCUUGUGUCUCAUCUUCUGCAGUGGAAGACUCAUUAUAUCUGGAGAUAAUGUACUCAUUUCACAUAGAAGAUCAUAUAUUAAAACAGUUCCUAGCCCAGUAUUAGGUCCCCUAUAAAUCUAGACCAACCUUCUUGCCCAAAACUGAAUCUUACACAUAUGAAUACUGUAAAGCUCCUGCUUCUGUAGCUUUAGCCUCAGUGACAAAACAUUGCACAAGAAGAAGAAAUAAAUUACCUCGCACCAAACAAGAGUCAACAAGUUUCCUCAUGCUGAAAUAUCUUUAAUGAUUCAAAAAAUAGGCUAAACAAACAAUCCAGAUGUCUAUUAAGCAAGUUGUCAAAUCCAUUUAUUAGCUAGGAAGGCAAAAAACCAAAACAACAAAUACGAACAUAAAAGCAGACAAUUCUCAUUUGGGGAGGAAAUCCUUCUUACUUCUUCCUAAAUAAAGCAAAUCAGGCUAUGGACUUCAGCAUGGUUUAUCUUCUAAACCACUCCUGAAAGAAAUGCACGUGGCCUUCUCUAUUACAAGGCAACUCCACUUAACAUCCAAACCAUGGUUUAGCUAGCUUUCAAGUGAGUGCACUGGAAAUGCUGCAUCCAAUUUCUUGUACAUGACCAGGGAAACCCCUAAAAUUAUUGGAUCUACAAUCCAAGGAGCUCCCUUAGAAACCACUGUGGUCUGCUCCUGAAUGUACACUACAGACCUUUUGACUGGCCUUUUCUUUCUCUAAGAAGCAGCCCUAUCUUUUCCAUGCCACUUUUACAAAUUGAUUCGAAAACUUCCUGAAAUUUUAAAUGUGAUUUCCUAUAUGGGUGCAGUUAGAGAUUUUAAAAAGAGAGAGCUGUUUAAAUGAUUCUUAUUUUGGAGACUUGCUUCUCAUUAUGCUGGAAGUAUGAAAAAGUUGUUGUUUGGAAAUAAAAACUCUUACUGUAUAUAGCCAAAUUAAGAUUUUCUUAUAUAAGAUCUGACUGGAUAUGGAGUCAAAACCUGCACCCUAAUGUUAUGAUCUCUCCACAGAAAGGUUUAUAGUUUCUUCGUAAAUGAAAAAAGAGCGAAUGCCAUGGCCAAAGAGACCUAGGGCAAAACAGAGUGAGAAAUAGCAUAUUGGCAAGUGCUACUAAUUUGAGCACUGGCUCAAAAGCUAAUGUUAUGAAGAUUCUAACCAUUAUGUAGUCUUUUCAUUAUCUCUUGGACCAUGAUGCAUGCAGCAAUAAUGGUAGGGACAGCCAGUGGAGAGACUCUGCUUCACAAUGAUAUAAUUUCAGAGUACCUAUGAUAUGAAUUAUUAAUUCCCAGGAUAUUUUUGUACUAGAAGUGAAUUAGCUGCAGCUAGACACAAGAAAGCUAAGGCUUUUAUUUGUAUCCUGGGGGUAUAUCUCAUGAAUCUAGUUGCCAAGAGAUAUGGAUUUAUAUAUAUAAAUGGUAUCUAGCUAUACAAACAAAUAAACUUUGUCACGUCUGUUAUGGAACCUGAGGAUAUAUAAAUGCUCAAAUACUUAUUUCUGCUUUAAAGAGAUAAAACCAGACUGCCACGCAAAGGGUUUCAAAAUAAAAGUACAGCAGCCAGAAAAUGUGAUGGUAAUUAGUUCAUUUAAUGACCUAAUAUGAAUAUAACUGUCUCUUUAAAAUGUAGCACCAACUAAGCAAAAUAUGGAGGAUGUGAGUCACUCAUGCAUUAAGCAGGUGCCUCUAUUUUAGGUAGCCUAACAUAAAAAAAUUGUGCAUUAGCAUAAACUUGACUUACCCUUCGGGUGAAUGAUGCCUACAUACCUUUGCAUUCUCAAGGUGGAAUUAAUUUUUAUUUUUUUGCAAUGAGAAGCUGUUUUUAAAAUGAUGUAUUUUCAAGAUCUUCCUAAUUUGGGGGUUGGGGGAGCUUUCUAAAUUUAGUCUAAAGCCCUUUUCACUUAGAACAGGGAUGGAGAACCUGCGACCUUUCAGAUGUUGUUAGACUCCUUUCAGCAUCUGUCAACAUGGUCAAUGGGCGAGCAGUGGUGCAAGCUGUAGUCCAACAACAUCUAAAGGACCACAGGCCCCCCAUCCAUCUUUGUCUUAGAAUGUUCCCAUUGCCUAUUUAGGCAUCCCCAUUUGAGCUGUGAGGCUGUUUCGGCCAAGCCAUGCCUACCUGUCCUACCUGUGGGUCAGGUAAAGAGAUGGAUGGGCUGACAGGCAGAGUCACAGGCACCACCAGCCACCUAAUUGGUGGCACUUGCAAAGCCCCAUGCAUAGCACUUUGCAAGUGCCGACAAACAGCUGAUUGUUGGUGCUUCCAUGCACAAAAACAUGUCAUUAUUCAAAAACAGAUCAUUGUUACAUUGCGUAAUUGUGGUAAAAUACAGGUAGCCAUACGUUUUCAUUUUGAAAUUGGGUUCAAAACCCAAUUUACAUCAUCAAGGUAAUUUGAAAGUACACACUGAGUAGUUAAUACUCACUAGGCUGCUGCCAUACUAGCCAUAAGCAGAAAUCUACUACAGAGGACGGAUCAGUAUUUUUUGCUGGGUGAGAUAAUGUUUUAACUAUGUUUAGAAAGUUUUAAAACUUUAGAUUUUUAAAAAUGUUUUUCAUUACUGUAUCUGCUCCUGUGGGCUCCUUAGGGAAGAAGGGCGGGAUAUAAAUAAACAACAACUCUUACAUUCUAUUUGUCAAUGGAGUGGUAUUGUCUGUCAGCUUUCUCCUUAGUCCAAGUGUUGUCAUUUUAGAACUCAACAGGGAGAAGGACAGAGAUAAAACUAGAAUUAGUUGGCUCUGCCUAUCAUUCACUUUGGGUCCUCCUACCAUCAGUCUCCCAAUCUCCCAACCUACCAGGCCUAAUGGACACCAGACACCACUGAGAGGCAACCUUCAAACUUGGUGCUUGCCCUGAAAUACAGCUAUCUAAUACUAGACUAUUAGAAGACCCCAUCUAAUUAAUUAAUUCUUCUAAUGAAAUAGAAGCAUUUCAUCUAAUAAAAUAAUUUUGAUAUGUCAAAAAUCCCCUCAAAUCCCAAAAGGUACAAUAUCUAAAAUUUAUAAUUGCAUCACUACAUUUUAAAUACUGGUAUGAAGGGGAUUUUUAAUUAAUAAAUAAAAAAAUGUAAAGAGCACAUACACUGAACGAUUUGAGACUCAUUUGACAAGUAAUAGAUAGCAAGAUACACAGUAAAGUCCUCUAUCAUGAUUUAUGAUUGGUGAGGUGAAAGAUUGCCAUUUUAAAUAAUCUAAAGUUCUUGACAUGGUAAUUAUACAAAAAGCAAUGUUUGGAUUUAUUUCAAAUGUGGGUUGACUCCAAUGCUGUAUCUGGUUACUAAGAACUGUUUGUAUUAAGCUAAUUCCUUCUAUCUAGCACGUAUUACACAGAACACCAAAGAAAUAUAUUAAGGGGGAAAUAUAGACACCAUACACUAGCGAUGCUAGAUCAAACCCUAAAUGUAAUUGCAUUGCAAGUAUAUGCAUGUGCCAUAAGCAGCCUGCAACUUUUCCCUGCCAAAAUAAAGGGCCUCUCUAUUCUACAAUUAGCAAAAACGUUCUCAUGCAUCCAAUAUUUCCCUUGAGGCAAUAACAACCUUAUUUUAGGUGUAGACAUCCUUGUUCAGCUUUUAUCUGUCAAAAAGGAUAAACUUAAAAAGACAACAGCACUUACUUGGAUUUGGGGGAGGUGGUGGAAAUACAUUUUACAUAGGCCUAAUAAAUAGCUGUGGGUACACAAUAGAAGCUGACAUAUCUAGUAAUACGAACUGUUAUCAGAUGAGCCAACCUUUGAAUAUACAAUGCUCUGACAGAUGUACUUUCACACACCCAACUGUCAAGGGGUAUAAGCAGCUGGAAAGUGAUUUUGCACAGUAAGUGGAUGAUUGAAAAGGAAGUGAAGGGAACUCUGGCUAUGAUGAAGUGUGUGUGUGUGUGUGUGUGUGUGUGUGUGUGUGUGUGUGUGUUUUCACACAAACGCACAUGCUGAAAGUUUAAUAUCACAAGGUAGAUUAGGUCUCCUUAACACCCUUAAAAUAGCUUAUCAAAUUCACACACAGUGGUUAAGUAAUGCAGAUGAGACCCAGAGAUACACCAGCAGAAUAAUUUCUGAUAGUGGUGCUGUUCUGGCACCUCAAAGACCUACUGGAAGACUUUUCAGAAAAGGGACUUGGCACCAGCAUGCAUCCUGAAACAUGGUCUGUUCUUGGCUUAUCCUCAUGGCUUGUUUGGAGAGAAAGAAUUCAUGAGGACUGGUUCACACAAAAGCACUAAGGAUUGUUUCCUCCCAAAAACUUUGGUUUGUUUCUUCCCAGCACAGCAAAUGGGGGAGACAGACAUGAUGUGAGCAGCAUGCUUGCUCAUUCCCAGUAAGCCUUGAUUUGUUUAACUCUGCCUUACCGUUAGAUGCCAUCAUUAUGCCAUUGCCCCUGACAGUCAUCAUUUUCAUUCCAUGACUGACAUUUGUGGGAGUAAAGAAACUCUGAGCACUGUGACAUUGUCACUUCUGAUUUACUAUUUGCUCCUAUACAUUUUUAGUAUAUGUUACUGUGGAAAGCAACCUCUGCCCUUGGAGAUUUACUCAAGACAAAGGCACUGAAAUAACAAACCUUGUAUUGCUCACCAGUGGCUACCAACCAUGAAGGCUGUGUUUUACCUCCACUGUCAGGGGAAUCAUGCUGGGAACUGCAAGUGGGGAGAAUGCUGUUAUGCCUGGUUUUGGCAUAGAAACUGCUUUGGUCUAUCUGUAUGAUGAUCUCUGUCGAGAUGAAAUGGAAUACUCAGGAUGAAACGGUGAAAUCUGCUAUGAUUAAAUGGGCACAAGAUGUUGGACAUAAUAUUAUGUUUGCUGACUGGGAACAGUUAUGGACCACAGGUAUGAAGUUUACGGCAUGUAAUGCCCUAAGAGAGAAUAUUAUGAAAAUGAUAUACAGGUGGUACAUGACCCCAGUCAAGCUUGCAAAAAUCUAUCAUUUGCCCGAUAAUAAAUGUUGGAAAUGUAAAGAAACUGAAGGUACAUUCUUUCACCUUUGGUGGAUGUGCCCAAGGAUUAAGGCUUUCUGGGAGAUGAUUUAUAAUGAAAUAAAAAAGGUAUUUAAAUAUACCUUUCUGAAGAAACCAGAGGCCUUUCUUCUGGGCAUUGUCGGCCAAUUGGUGCCAAAGAAGGACAGAACCUUUUUUAUGUAUGCCACAACAGCAGCAAGAAUACUCAUCGCAAAGUAUUGGAAGACACAAGAUCUACCCACUCUGGAAGAAUGGCAGAUGAAGGUGAUUGACUACAUGGAAUUGGUGGAAAUGACUGGCAGAAUCCGAGACCAGGGAGAAGAGUCGGUGAAAGAAGACUGGAAGAAAUUUAAAGACUAUUUACAGAAAUAUUGUAAAAUUAAGGAAUUUUAGAAGGAUGUUGGAUAGAAACUAAGAGGUUUUUAGCUGUAAUGCUUUAAGAGAUAUGAAAAAAAGGUUUACAAUUGGGUAAAAGCUUAAUGGUAAGGAUUUGCUGAACUAACAAACUGAACUGGAAUACAAAAAAGGGAGGUACGAGGAGGUCCGGGGAAAUAAGUGUAGGGAAGAUAGGUUAUGGAAAAUUAAUGUCUUUUUAACUGUUUUAUUUUGUAUGUUUCCUUUUAUUUUUUACUUUUUUGUUAUAUUUUAAAAACUUUAUUCUUUUUUCUGUAUUCUGUAUUUCUUGUAUUUUUUGAAACUUUAAUAAAUAUCAUUAAAAAAAAAGAUGAUCUCUGUCGAGAGAGAGAGAAGGGAAACAUGUCCCUAUUAAUUAUCCUCAACCUCUCAGUGGCUUUCAAUACCAUUGGCCAUGGUAUCCUUCUGGAGCGACUUUCCGAACUAGAGGUGGGUGGCACCACUUUGCAGUGGUUCCAGUCCUACUUAGAUGGUUGUUCCCAAAGGGUGUUGCUUGGGGAGUGCUUUUCAGGCCCAUGAAACCUUCAAUGUGGGGUUCAUCUACAUGAAACCGCUGGGUGGGGUUAUCCAGAGGUUUGGAGUACGUUGUCAGCAGUAUGCUGAUGACAUGCAGCUCUGUUUCUCCUUUGCAUCUGCAGGUCAGGCAGUGGAAGUGCUGGACCAGUUUCUUGCCUCAGUAAUGGACUGGAUGAGAACCAACAAACUGAAACUCAAUCCCAAUAAGACUGAGGCACUGUUAGUGGGUGGUUCCCUAGACAGAUGGGUAGGAGAUUGCCUACUCUUGAUGGGGUUACACUUCCUCUGAACGAGCAGGUCUGUAGCUUGGGGGUACUCCUGGAUCCUUUGCUGUCACUCAAGGCUCUGGUGGCCUGGAGUGCCUUCCAUCAGCUUCGGCUGGUGGCCCAGCUACGCCACUAUCGGGACAAGGAUAGCCUAUCUACUGUUGUCUAUGCUCUGGUAACCUCAAGGUUAGAUUACUGCAAUGUGUUAUACAUAAGGCUGCCUCUGAAGACAGUUCAGAAACUUCAGCUAGUGCAGAAUUCAGCUGCCAGGUUGUUCACCAGAGCAAAACAGUAUGAGCAUAUUGCACUGAUCCUGGUCCGACUGCACUGGCCACCAAUUAGUUUCCAGGCCCAAUUCAAAGUGCUGGUUUUGACCUAUAAAGCCUUAAAUGUCUGAGGAUCACAGUACCUCACGGACUCCCUCUUUCCAUAUGGGCCUACCCAGACCCUGAGAUCAUCUUCUGAGGCCCUUCUUCGUGUGCCUCCUCCUCAAGAGGUCCAGAGGGUGGCAACAUGAGAAUGGGCCUUCUCUGCAGUGGCUCCCCAUCUGUGGAAUGCUCUCCCCAGGGAAGUUCGCCUUUAUUAUACCAUGCAAAAAUGAUCUUUUUUAACUAGGCCUUUGUUUGAUUUGAUUAACAUCCUAUGCCCUUUUAAAAUGUGGGGGUUUGGGGGGUGGGGGGUUAUUGGGUGGUUGUUGUUUUUAUUUUUAUUACGCAUUUUGUGGUUUUAUAUUUUGAUUUUAUUCUGUGAACCACCCUAAGACCUUGGGGUACAGGGUGGUUAAUAAUAAUAAUAAUAAUAAUAAUAAUAAUAAUGCUCCUGUCUAUCUUUCAGGUUUCCCAUAGACAUCUGGUCAGCCACUGUGAGAACAGGAUGUUGGACUAGAUAGGCCAUUGGCCUGAUCCAGAAAGGCU